UAAUAAGCGGAGGAAAAGAAACUAACUAGGAUUCCUUUAGUAGCUGCGAGCGAACAGGGAAGAGCCCAGCACUGAAUCCCGUGGCCGUUACCGGACACUGGGAAAUGUAGUGUUAGGGAGGACUCAUUUAUCCUAAGGUUGUACGGUGUGUCCAAGUCCUUCUUGAACGAGGCCAUAACCCAUAGAGGGUGCCAGGCCCGUAGAGACCACUGUCAAUUUUUGGGAGAGUCUCUCCUCAGAGUCGGGUUGCUUGAAAGUGCAGCCCUAAGUGGGUGGUAAACUCCAUCUAAGGCUAAAUAUGACCACGAGACCGAUAGCGAACAAGUACCGUGAGGGAAAGUUGAAAAGUACUUUGAAGAGAGAGUUCAAUAGUACGUGAAACCGUUCAGGGGUAAACCUGAGAAACCCGAAAGAUCGAAAGAGGAAAUUCAUUCGCAUUUCAGUUGCUAGUAAUUUGUUAGUACAGUAUAGAGGUGUCUCCUUGCGUUACACUUCAACUUGCUAUCAUCCUGACCUGGUACUGAAUGUGUGCACUUUUCCUCUAGUAGGUCGUCGCGAUCUGUUGGCGAUCGAUUUACGGCCCGCGGAGGCAGACUAUGCGUUUGUUACUUUCAUUAGUUAACAUAACUGUAUAGACCCGUGGUGACCUAAUCGUAUCAGUUGACAGUAUAAUAAAAUUGUGCAGAGCCGCAGCAAUGCGUUCGGCCCAUGGCAAGCGUGUUUGGUGCUUACUGAUGUGUCAUACCAGUACUGGUAUGUCCUCAGUCCCAAAUAUCUGUUGGCUGUGGUGUUCUCGAACAGACUCUCACACACACACAUAUCAGCGACGCUAUAGCUUUGGGUAAUCUCAGGACCCGUCUUGAAACACGGACCAAGGAGUCUAGCAUGUGCGCAAGUCAAUGGGCCUAACGAACCCCAAAGGCGAAAUUAAUGUGAACGUUUACACUUAUGUGCAAACAUUGGGACGAUGGGUAUGCUUUGCUUUUAUUAGUGGCUGCCCCGCACUCCCGGGGCGUCUCAAUGGCUCACUUCGGUGAGUCGAGGCGCACUCUGAGCGUACAUGCUGGGACCCGAAAGAUGGUGAACUAUGCCUGGUCAGGACGAAGUCAGGGGAAACCCUGAUGGAGGUCCGUAGCGGUUCUGACGUGCAAAUCGAUCGUAUGAACUGGGUAUAGGGGCGAAAGACUAAUCGAACCAUCUAGUAGCUGGUUCCCUCCGAAGUUUCCCUCAGGAUAGCUGGCGCUCAUUGAGCACGAGUUUCAUUCGGUAAAGCGAAUGAUUAGAGGCAUUGGGGUCGAAACGACCUCAACCUAUUCUCAAACUUUAAAUGGGUGAGAUCUUCGGCUUGCUUAAAAAAGCAAUAUGAAGCCGUAAGAGAUAUACUAUAAUAGAAUCAGAGUGCCAAGUGGGCCAUUUUUGGUAAGCAGAACUGGCGCUGUGGGAUGAACCAAACGUUAAGUUAAAGCGCCUAAAUUGACGCUCAUGGGAUACCAUGAAAGGCGUUGGUAACUUAAGACAGCAGGACGGUGGCCAUGGAAGUCGGAAUCCGCUAAGGAGUGUGUAACAACUCACCUGCCGAAGUUACUAGCCCUGAAAAUGGAUGGCGCUAAAGCGUCAUGCUUAUACUUAACCGUCAGCGGCAUGUGCGUCUUUACACAGUGCACUUGUGUACUUGUAUUGACAUGAAGCCCUGACGAGUAGGAGGGUCGCGGUGGUGAGCGCAGAAGGACUGGCCGUGAGGUCGUCUGGAGCCGCCAUCGGUGCAGAUCUUGGUGGUAGUAGCAAAUACUCCAGCGAGGCCCUGGAGGACUGAUGUGGAGAAGGGUUURGUGUGARCAGSUGKUGCACACGAGUCAGUCGAUCYUAAGCCCUAGGSGDAAGCCGAUGUUAAUAAAGUGURUAUACACAAAAAUCUWUAAUUGAAAAAUAUAUAUGAAAUAUAAAAUAUGAAAUAUGAAAUAUAUAAAUAUAUAAACACAAACACACUUAUGGGCGAAAGGGAAUCUGGUUCCUAUUCCAGAACCUGGCAGCGGAACCGUAUAAAUGUCGGGCCCUCAUUAGAGAGUUCGUCGGGGUAACCCAAAAUGACUCGGAGACGCCGUCGGGAGAUCCGGGAAGAGUUUUCUUUUCUGUAUGAGCGUUCGAGUUCCAUGGAAUCCUUUAGCAGGGAGAUAUGGUUUGGAACGCGAAGAGCACCGCAGUUGCAGCGGUGUCCGGAUCUUCCCCUCGGACCUUGAAAAUCCGAGAGAGGGCCACGUAAGGUGUCGCGCCAGAUCGUACCCAUAUCC
rnacentral:rRNA from 1 species